rnacentral:lncRNA from 1 species
GACAACCCCGUCCUCUCCGCGGCUCUGCCUUGCAACUUGCAAGCGCCGAGGAGGCCAAGCAGCGCACGGGUUCCGCCGCCUCCGCUGCCGUCUUCGUCUCCACUCUCCUGCACACGCGCCGUCGCCGUCGCCCCUCUCCAUCAGCUUCUUUCUUCCCGCAGCAGCUCCCCUUCCUCGCGAGCUCCGACCAUCACGGCACCAUGGACGGGGAGUGCGAGAUGCGACCACUUUU